rnacentral:lncRNA from 1 species
GGGCAGAGGGUCAUGUAGUGGAAUAGAGCUGUACCUGGCUUCAGGCGAGACUUGGAGCUCAAAACUUUCAGUAGGACAGCCAGGCGCGGUGGCUGAUGCCUGUAAUCCCAGCACUUUGGGAGGCCGAGGUGGGCGGAUCACGAGAUUCUUGUGCUGUCACUCAGGCUGGAGUGCAACGUUGAAAUCUCGGCUCACUGCAACUUCUGCCUCCCGGAUUCAGGCAAUUCUUGUGUCUCAGCCUCCUAAGAAGCUGAGAUUACAGCAACUCCAAAAUGGAAGUACUAUUGUUAUCUCCGUUUACAAAUUAGGAAACUGAGGCACAGAUAUGCUCUUGGGUACUUGUCAGCAGCAGUUGUUCUACAAGCUAAAUAUCUGGAUAUCUUAAAUCUCAGAUGAGCGUCUUAGCCUCUGGAUUACUGCUCAAUGAGGAAAGCUAUGAAAUGCAUGGAUAACUUGCUAAUCAGUAUUUGCCAUAUGUGCUAGCAGCAUCAGCAUCAGUUGGGAGAUUAUGGUGGCCUCCAUGUCAGACCUCCUAAAUCGGAAUAUCAGAGAAGGUGGCCCAGGUUACCAUGCUUCAUCUGCCAAUGCAUUGAAAACUUGGAAUGUAAAUUAAUUCAACCAUUGUGGAAGAUGGUGUAGUGAUUCCUCAAAGACCUAGAAGCAGAAAUAUCAUUUGAUCCAGAAAUCCCAUUACUGUGUAUACACCCAAAGGAAUAUAAACCAUUCUAUUACAAAGAU